GACGAACGCUGGCGGCGUGCCUAAUACAUGCAAGUCGAACGCUGAAGGCGGAGCUUGCUUCUCUGGAUGAGUUGCGAACGGGUGAGUAACGCGUAGGUAACCUGCCUGGUAGCGGGGGAUAACUAUUGGAAACGAUAGCUAAUACCGCAUAAGAGUAGAUGUUGCAUGACAUUUGCUUAAAAGGUGCAAUUGCAUCACUACCAGAUGGACCUGCGUUGUAUUAGCUAGUUGGUGGGGUAACGGCUCACCAAGGCGACGAUACAUAGCCGACCUGAGAGGGGGGGUGGCCACACUGGGAGUGAGACACGGCCCAGACGCAUACGGGAGGCAGCAGUAGGGAAUCGUCGGCAAUGGGCGGAAGACUGAGCGAGAAGCGCGGCGUGAGGGAAGAGGGUCUUCGGAUCGUAGAGGUCUGUUGUAAGGGAAGAACGAGUGUGAGCGUGGAAAGUUCAGACUGUGACGGUAUCUGACCAGAAAGGGACGGCUAACUACGUG
rnacentral:rRNA from 1 species